GACGAACGCUGGCGGCGUGCUUAACACAUGCAAGUCGAACGGUGAAGGGGUCUGCUUUUGUGGGCCCUGGAUGAGUGGCGAACGGGUGAGUCACACGUGAGUAACCUGCCCCCUUCUUCUGGAUAACCGCAUGAAAGUGUGGCUAAUACGGGAUAUUCUGGGUCUGUCGCAUGAUGGGUCUGGGAAAGAUUGCGCCUUUGGGUGUUUUUGGUGGGGGAUGGGCUCGCGGCCUAUCAGCUUGUUGGUGGGGUGAUGGCCUACCAAGGCGGUGACGGGUAGCCGGCCUGAGAGGGUGGACGGUCACACUGGGACUGAGACACGGCCCAGACUCCUACGGGAGGCAGCAGUGGGGAAUAUUGCACAAUGGGCGCAAGCCUGAUGCAGCGACGCCGCGUGAGGGAUGGAGGCCUUCGGGGUGUAAACCUCUUUCGCCAGUGAAGCAGGCCUGCUCCUUGUGGGUGGGUUGACGGUAGCUGGAUAAGAAGCGCCGGCUAACUACGUG
rnacentral:rRNA from 1 species